rnacentral:rRNA from 1 species
CCUCCCACCCGUGUUUAUUUACCUUGUUGCUUCGGCGGGCCCGCCUUAACUGGCCGCCGGGGGGCUCACGCCCCCGGGCCCGCGCCCGCCGAAGACACCCUCGAACUCUGUCUGAAGAUUGAAGUCUGAGUGAAAAUAUAAAUUAUUUAAAACUUUCAACAACGGAUCUCUUGGUUCCGGCAUCGAUGAAGAACGCAGCGAAAUGCGAUACGUAAUGUGAAUUGCAAAUUCAGUGAAUCAUCGAGUCUUUGAACGCACAUUGCGCCCCCUGGUAUUCCGGGGGGCAUGCCUGUCCGAGCGUCAUUGCUGCCCUCAAGCCCGGCUUGUGUGUUGGGCCCCGUCCUCCGAUUCCGGGGGACGGGCCCGAAAGGCAGCGGCGGCACCGCGUCCGGUCCUCGAGCGUAUGGGGCUUUGUCACCCGCUCUGUAGGCCCGGCCGGCGCUUGCCGAUCAACCCAAAUUUUUAUCCAGGUUGACCUCGGAUCAGG